UACGUAGGGUGCAAGCGUUAUCCGGAAUUAUUGGGCGUAAAGAGCUCGUAGGCGGUUUGUCGCGUCUGCUGUGAAAACCCGAGGCUCAACCUCGGGCCUGCAGUGGGUACGGGGCAGACUAGAGUGGCGGUAGGGGAGAUUGGAAUUCCUGGUGUAGCGGUGGAAUGCGCAGAUAUCAGGAGGAACACCGGGUGGCGAAGGC
rnacentral:rRNA from 1 species